rnacentral:rRNA from 1 species
UGAGUAACGGCGAGCGAAAAGGGAAGAGUCCAGCACCGAAUCCCGCACCCUUUGGGUGCCGGGAAAUGUGGUGUUUGGGAGUGAGCGCGUCGGAGGUCGAACCCGCAGCAAGUCCCCCUGACCGGGGCUCUUUCCCAGAGUGGGUGCGAGGCCCAUAGCUGCGGGAUCGCCUCCGAGUGCGAUCUCCUCGGAGUCGGGUUGCUUGGGAGUGCAGCCCAAAGCGGGAGGUAAACUCCUCCUAAGACUAAAUACCGCCGUGAGACCGAUAGCAAACAAGUACCGUGAGGGAAAGUUGCAAAGAACUUUGAAGAGAGAGUUCAAGAGUACGUGAAACUGCUCAGAGGGAAACGGGUGGGCCCUCGAAAUCCUGUGGAGGGAGGAUUCAGUCGGGAGUCGCUCGGGACUCGGGGCGCGUCAUUCGGACCCGCGACCGGGCCGGCGCUCCGUUUCUCCGUGGCGGCGACCGACGCAUUUCUUUCCCUCCCGAAGGACGCCGCAACCGGUUGGCGGGGCGGCCAUAAGGGCGGGAGCCGGCAGGUGGCCGGUGGCUCGCUUCGGCGGGCCGCCGGUUGUUAGCCUUUCCGUCGUGCGGCCGCACCCCGACCGUGGUGCAGCGAGGCCCUCAUGGGACUUGGA